rnacentral:rRNA from 1 species
AUUUAUUUAAAACUUUUGCUAAAAAUUGAAGGUGAAAUUUAGAAUUUUAUGGCAUUAGGUGUAUAAGUAUAAAUUGUUAGAAGCUAUAAAGAUUAAGCGUUAGACUAGGAUUAGAUACCCUAUUAUUCUUUAUUAAAAUAUUAGUCGCUUGAGUAGUAAUCAGUUAUGGUCUUGAAACUUAAAGGAUUUGGCGGUACUCAAGUCUAGUUAGAGGAACCUGCUCUUUAAACGAUAUGCCACGAAUUAUCUUACUUUUAUUUGUAUUCAGUAUGUAUACCUCCAUUAUUAAAUAAUAUUAAUAAAUAAAUAUUGCAAUAAAAUAUUUUUAGUAUAUUAGGUCAAGGUGCAGCCUAUAUAAAAGCUUCGGGUGGGUUACAAUAUAUGUUUAUAUUCGAAUAAAAAUUAUAAUAUUUUUUUGAAGUUGGAUUUAAUUGUAUAUUUAUUUUAAUAUGUUAAAUUGAUAUUAGCUCUAGAGUAUGUACACAUCGCCCGUCGCUCUCGUUA